GUUACGCUAAUACCGCAUACGAUCUAAGGAUGAAAGCGGGGGAUCGCAAGACCUCGCGCGAUUUGGAGCGGCCGAUAUCAGAUUAGGUAGUUGGUGAGGUAAAGGCUCACCAAGCCGACGAUCUGUAGCUGGUCUGAGAGGACGACCAGCCACACUGGGACUGAGACACGGCCCAGACUCCUACGGGAGGCAGCAGUGGGGAAUUUUGGACAAUGGGCGCAAGCCUGAUCCAGCAAUGCCGCGUGCAGGAUGAAGGCCUUCGGGUUGUAAACUGCUUUGUACGGAACGAAACGGUGAGCUCUAAUACAGUUUGCUAAUGACGGUACCGUAAGAAUAAGCACCGGCUAACUACGUG
rnacentral:rRNA from 1 species